GAGUUUGAACCUGGCUCAGGACGAACGCUGGCGGCAUGCCUAAUACAUGCAAGUCGAGCGAACAGAUGAAGUGCUUGCACUUCUGACGUUAGCGGCGAACGGGUGAGUAACACGUAAGGAAUCUACCUAUAAGCGGGGGAUAACAUUCGGAAACGGGUGCUAAUACCGCAUAAUAUCUUCUUCCGCAUGGAAGAAGAUUGAAAGACGGCUCUGCUGUCACUUAUAGAUGACCUUGCGGUGCAUUAGUUAGUUGGUGGGGUAAUGGCCUACCAAGACAAUGAUGUAUAGCCGACCUGAGAGGGUGAUCGGCCGCAUUGGGACUGAGACACGGCCCAAACUCCUACGGGAGGCAGCAGUAGGGAAUCUUCCGCAAUGGGCGAAAGCCUGACGGAGCAAUGCCGCGUGAGUGAAGAAGGCCUUCGGGUCGUAAAACUCUGUUAUAAGAGAAGAACAAAUUGUAGAGUAACUGCUACAGUCUUGACGGUAUCUUAUCAGAAAGCCACGGCUAACUACGUGCCAGCAGCCGCGGUAAUACGUAGGUGGCAAGCGUUGUCCGGAUUUAUUGGGCGUAAAGGGAGCGCAGGUGGUUUCUUAAGUCUGAUGUGAAAGCCCACGGCUUAACCGUGGAGGGUCAUUUGAAACUGGGGAACUUGAGUACAGAAGAGGAAUGUGGAACUCCAUGUGUAGCGGUGGAAUGCGUAGAUAUAUGGAAGAACACCAGUGGCGAAGGCGACA
rnacentral:rRNA from 1 species